rnacentral:rRNA from 1 species
AUUGAACGCUGGCGGCAGGCCUAACACAUGCAAGUCGAGCGGAGCGGCGGACGGGUGAGUAAUGCCUAGGUAUGUGACUGGUCGUGGGGGAUAACGACCGGAAACGGGCGCUAAUACCGCAUACUAGCAGAUGAGCCUAGGUCGGAUUAGCUAGCUGGUGGGGUAAGGGACUACCAAGGCGACGAUCCCUAACUGGUCUGAGAGGAUGAGCAGUCACACUGGAACUGAGACACGGUCCAGACUCCUACGGGAGGCAGCAGUGGGGAAUAUUGGACAAUGGGCGCAAGCCUGAUGCAGCCAUGCCGCGUGUGUGAAGAAGGUCUUCGGAUUGUAAAGCACUUUAAGCUGGGAGGCGUUACCCGCAGAAUAAGCACCGGCUAACUUCGUGCCAGCCGCCGCGGUAAUUC